UACGGAGGGGGCAAGCGUUAUUCGGAAUUAUUGGGCGUAAAGGGCGCGUAGGCGGCUAGAUGUGUCAAAGGUGAAAUCCCUCGGCUCAACUGAGGAACUGCCUUUGAAACUGUCUGGCUUGAGGCCGGGAGAGGGUAGCGGAAUUCCCAGUGUAGCGGUGAAAUGCGUAGAUAUUGGGAGGAACACCAGUGGCGAAGGCGGCUACCUGGACCGGUUCUGACGCUGAGGCACGAAAGCUAGGGUAGCAAACGGG
rnacentral:rRNA from 1 species